AUGAAGUGGGCAAGAAAUCAAAUCACACAUCAGGUAGUGCUGUAAUUUAGUUGUUUGAAUCUAUUGUGACUAUGAAGUGAUCCGGCCGGGAUAGUUCUUUGAUUGUGAAUCUAUUGGGAAAUCAUAGAGUGCAAUGUCAAUGCAUUGCUAGUUGUCUUUACAGAUGAGGCCGGGAUAGUUCUUUGAUUUCCAGUGCUAAUAAUUGUGUCGACAAGUAUUAUUUGAGUAUGUUUAAUUGUUUAUCUAUGUUCUUUCUCUUGCAACUGCAUUACAGCUUGAAUUGGAGAUUCGAUUUUUCUUAAGUUCUGUUGUGGAAAAUGGGGAUUUGAUGCCUAUAUAUUCUAUGGACUUGUGGGGGAGUUCAGAUAGUCAAUGUUAUUCUGAUUUGAUGCCUAUAUAUUCUAUGGACUUGUGGGGGUUUGAUUCUUGUAUAUUAUUCUGACUUGCUAAAAUCUCUAUCAGGUAUGAGUUUAAAACAAAUCAUGGAGAAUGGAUCACUUCAAUGAAACCAAAGUUUGGGGAUAAUGUAUCCGGACGUGUUCGUACAACAAUCAAGUGAGUACCUCAGAAUGUAAAAAAGUUCUGUAUAAAGUCCUCAUAUGGGAAACCAGCUGUGAGAUUUUGGUAGGUCUACACUCCGAGGAAUAUCCUAUACUAGUGAGGAAAUUGAUGUGGUUCGUGAGCAACGGGCUAAGUGUUUUACGCGCAAGUAUUUACUAUUGGCUUGAACGCGCUUGAUCGAGGUGGUUUAGUUGUUAUAGAACAAUCGUUUACAUUAAAAUGUAUGCGUACAUUGAAAUUGGAACGUAUAUUUGAAUGUAGUACGUGCACUUUGGUUUUGGGAUAUAUAUAUAUGUAUACAAAACACCAGUUAUUAUUUUUUA